CGCGGCCUAUCAGCUUGUUGGUGAGGUAACGGCUCACCAAGGCGUCGACGGGUAGCUAGUCUGAGAGGACGAAUAGCCACACUGGGACUGAGACACGGCCCAGACUCCUACGGGAGGCAGCAGCAGGGAAUCUUGCACAAUGGGCGAAAGCCUGAUGCAGCGACGCCGCGUGGGGGAUGAAGGCCUUUGUGUCGUAAACCCCUUUCAGCAGGGACGAAACUGACGGUACCUGCAGAAGAAGCCCCGGCCAACUACGUGCCAGCAGCCGCGGUAAGACGUAGGGGGCAAGCGUUGUCCGGAAUUAUUGGGCGUAAAGAGCUCGUAGGCGGUUGCGUAAGUCGGAUGUGAAAGCUCAGGGCUCAACCCUGAGAGGCCAUCCGAUACUGCGCUGACUUGAAUCCAGUAGGGGAGUGUGGAAUUCCUGGUGUAGCGGUGAAAUGCGCAGAUAUCAGGAGGAACACCUAUGGCGAAGGCAGCACUCUGGGCUGGUAUUGACGCUGAGGAGCGAAAGCAUGGGUAGCAAACAGGAUUAGAUACCCUGGUAGUCCAUGCCGUAAACGGUGGGCACUAGGUGUGGGGACUUUCAACGGUCUCCGUGCCGAAGCUAACGCAUUAAGUGCCCCGCCUGGGGAGUACGG
rnacentral:rRNA from 1 species